CAACCAAGUUAAGCAACUUGUAUUUAUUCAUGGAGAUAAGGAUUAAUAUAUAUACCUGUGAGUUUUACUGGCAAAUCACACCGAAUCUCAGUUGGAAAAUUGAUUAUUUAUUUCUGAGCUUAAUAUUAUCACUGAAAAACAAAAACAAAAUGCGCUUCGCAAUUGUUUGUCUAAUGGCUGCUAUGCUUGCCUGUAUAUCAAUCGAAGCGACGAAUCAAGAUAUACAGGAGGAAGGUAGGAAUACCAAUGACGUGAAUAGCGACAAUAGAGCCCAUCAAACUACCAAUAACAUGGCGAACCUGAAUGCAUGUAAUCUGAAUACUGAUGGUCCCGCAAUAAAUGAUAUGUCUGUGAGUCAAGGGGCGAAUACGGGAGCAGUAAUGGCGCCCGACGUGACCGCAGAAGGUGAAAACGUUGGAAGCGCAGGUCAGAACUUAUCCUAAUGAUUGCUGAGGGAAUCAUUAAGUUCUCACUGCUUUUGAUAAUUGCAAAGCUAUCCUGGAAAUCCGACGAAUUCAAACUUAUUUAAAGGAAUCUGUAGUAUGAAUAUCUCAAAUAAUAUUAUAUUAUCUUAUGUUCCAAAUUAUUGAGUGAUCAAUAUGUGUAAACUUCAUUUAUUAAAUAAAAAACUCUAUGGAAAAAUAUAA